UUCUCUCUUUGAAUCUCCCAGACUACCUUCAACUAGCAUUUUUUUAUCUGUGCAUAUUUUAUUUUCACUCUAAUGGUUCUGCAUUCUGUCACCUUUUCAUUUAGUAAGGAGUUUGUCUAAAAUCUCUCCAUAUACUAAAAGUAACUUUUUUGUUACUGUGAUUCAUUCCUCAGUAUGUCAAAGUGGUUGUUUUAUUUAGUCAAGAUUGUUAUUUAGUCAUCGUCCAUAAUGUCAUGGUAAAGGAACCUCCGAGGCACCGAUAUGGCAGAUGCAGCCGUGUCCCCGUGCUGGACAUGUCCGAUUAUAUCCCCUUUUCUUCUAUUUCUAAUUAUUUCUAGAAAGGGUGAUACAGCUGGGACACUGGGAUGGUAUGGCUCGGAUACGCCCAAUGCCUAUGUAGAGGGCAUGAGGGGGAGAGGGGGUGCGGGGUGGGGGUGAGAGGGGACGAGAAAGGGAAUGAGAGGGAGGGGGAGAGGCAGGGGCACAGGCGGUCAGAUAGAGGAGCAGGACGCUUUGAUAAGUGAGAAAAGAUAAAGGGUCAAAGACUGAAAGAGAGAGAGGCGGGGCUGGGGAAGGGGAACAGGUACAAAGGGAAGUGGUAAGGAGUACAGCAGGGUGAGAGGGUCCAACAGAAGGCCCAAGAUGCGCUUUCCAGAGAGUUCUCAUCUAGAUGUGUGUGGCUUGUCGCCUUUGUUUAACAGGGCAAAGAGAGAUGGAGAGUAAUGGAAUCAAGGGGUACCAAGUAGGCCCACACAGUCUCACUUCAAAGUUGGUAUGACUGGCAGCAGGGCCUCAUGCCCUCAUCCUUCCUAAUAUUAUUGUUAUGUUGAUAUUAUUCUUCAAAAAUAUGUAAUACUCACUGUAUCCCUGUAUGGCUAUUUCUAGAACAUGCUGUAUCCAUCCCUGUAUAUAACAAUUAUUUAGGAACGGAGGGAAUAUAUGUUAUUUCAUCACUUUGAAUAUACUCGCAUACUUUUUCUAAGGUACUCCGAAUGAACUA